UGCGCAGGCGGACUAUUAAGUCAGUGGUGAAAUCUCUCGGCUCAACCGAGAAACUGCCAUUGAAACUGAUAGCCUUGAGUAUGGUUGUGGUAGGCGGAAUAUAGCAUGUAGCGGUGAAAUGCUUAGAUAUGCUAUAGAACACCGAUCGCGAAGGCAGCUUACCAAACCAUUACUGACGCUCAUGCACGAAAGCGUGGAGAGCAAACAGGAUUAGAUACCCUGGUAGUCC
rnacentral:rRNA from 1 species